rnacentral:rRNA from 1 species
UGGGGAAUCUUCCGCAAUGGGCGAAAGCCUGACGGAGCAACGCCGCGUGAGUGAUGACGGCCUUCGGGUUGUAAAGCUCUGUGAUCGGGGACGAACGGUCAGCAGACGAAUACUCUGCUGAAGUGACGGUACCCGAAUAGCAAGCCACGGCUAACUACGUGCCAGCAGCCGCGGUAAUACGUAGGUGGCAAGCGUUGUCCGGAAUUAUUGGGCGUAAAGCGCGCGCAGGCGGCUUCUUAAGUCCAUCUUAAAAGUGCGGGGCUUAACCCCGUGAUGGGAUGGAAACUGAGAGGCUGGAGUAUCGGAGAGGAAAGUGGAAUUCCUAGUGUAGCGGUGAAAUGCGUAGAGAUUAGGAAGAACACCGGUGGCGAAGGCGACUUUCUGGACGACAACUGACGCUGAGGCGCGAAAGCGUGGGGAGCAAACAGGAUUAGAUACCCUGGUAGU